rnacentral:lncRNA from 1 species
AUGCACGGCUCUCCCCCCUGCCUCCCUGGGAGCCCCAGGAGUGCAGCAAAAAUCCUCCGGGGUUUGCCAGGCUUCUCAGCAGCAUGCUUCAGCCAGGGCAUCCUGCAUGCUCUCUUCUGCAGAACUCUCUUCGUCGGCACCCUGACCCCUUUGCAAUGUGCUCUUCUUGUUUGGCUGUGGUGCAGUGGCCUGAAUUCACCUUUAGGAUGGGAUCUCGAGCAGCAGCCAGCCCUGCCUUUGCCUGAUGAGCCCUGGGGCUGCCAGGAGCUGCUGGCCCUGCGGGGUGAGGCCCUCCCCUCCCGGCGGUACAGAGGAAGUCACCCUGAUGAGAGCUGCUGGCUCAGGUGCUUAAUAGUGCCCCCACUUCGUCUGUCUCAGGGGUUUUCAUGGUACGGCGCCAGCUGGAGGGGGGAGGAGGGAGGAAACAGAGGCCUGGGGGCUGUGGGAUUUGGGGAUGUGGCCCCAGAGCAGGCUGAGAGCGAGCAGGGAGGGGAGGAUGGCCACCAGCACCUGGGUGCCAUCAGGGUGGGCUCUGCUCCACAUCCCUCCCCGCUGGGGGGACAAAAGGCAGCCCCAGUGGGGCAGUGGGACCUCUCCUGCCCCGUGCUGGGGGAUACUUUAGUGAGGCUGCUGCUCAUCCUCCCCAUCCCACCGACAGCGCCGUAGUGGUCCAGGGGCUGCCCCCGGCCCCGGCUGCUUGCGUCUUGCAGGGAAAGCAGCCGGCGGUGUGGGACAGGGAGCGGUGCAGCCAGGGCCCUGCUGAUGACCUGGUUUGAAAUGAGGAUACUGCAUCUUUCAGGAUCUCCCAUGUACUUUUGACCGUUUUCACUGUAUACUCUCCAGUGACUUGUAUUUUCAAGCUUGGUGUUGUAAGAUGCGUUUAUCAUGACUCUUCUGUUACCCUUUUCUAAAGACAAAAAAGAAAAAAGAAAAAAAAAAAAAAGAAAGAAAAAAAAAGGCGACCUAUUUUGAGAGCUCCUACAUUAACCAGACUAAUUUCUCUUCCCCACUGCUCCUUGCAGUAUCAUUGCUUGUUGACUUGCUGGUUUCCUUUUUCUGAGAUACAAACUGAAGUUUGAGGUUUUUGAAACUAUUUAAGAGAUUGAGGAAAAAAAAAAUGUUUACCUGAUCUGUGUAUUCUGGUUUUUCUUAACCCCCUCGCCACUCUCUCAGCCAAUAUUAGCGUUUACAUUUGCAACUACAGCCUCCUUCAAAUGCAGUUUUCAACCAUUCUGAAACCAGCAGGGUACACUAGAUUUCUUAGUAGUUUUCUUAGCUAAUAUCCCAGAUGUUUUCCUUUUUCUUCAGUAUAAUUUACCAGAGAGAAUUAACUGAUGCAUUUUUUUUUGUGUUGUCUUCCCCUUCAGUAGUUAUAUUUUGUCUUUUCUGCACAUCUGUCUACUAAUAAAAAAAAAUGUGAAAUGAAAAUAUCCCUGUACUGUUAUGUCCCUGGUAAUGGAGCUGUUUUAUUUGCCUGGGUUGUUUGGAGUUGAAUAAUACCUCCUGAGCUGUUCUGUGGUGGUCUCUAGUGUCGUGGACAGCUGUAGGUACAGGAAAACCAGUGCCACCCAUGCAGUAAGGUGAAGGAGGCAAGGCUGUGCCACUGGUGGAAGGUGGUGGGGGUGAGCCCAGGCUGAGAGCAAGGCCUGGUGCUGCAGGGCCUGGCAAAAGUGUGGCUCUAAGGAAGGAAAAGUGGUUAUCAUAGGAAAAAGUGGUUUUUGUUUUUUGUUUUUUUUUUUUUCUUCCUUGUUUGUCUUCAACCAUAGCCAGGGCAGCAGUGCAAAAACACUCCGUGGCCAAAUACAGCUUUCGCAGUCACUGCCUGCGCUGCUGCCAGGAACCGUGCCAGGCGCUGAAGGACGAGCAGGGGGCAGGAGCUGUCCCUCGGGAGCCCUCAGCCCUGACCUUGCAGUGCUCGCACACAGCAGCAGCUCUGCCUCACGGGCAAAGCACGGGGCAAAGCUGUGCCCCCUCCUGACCCACCCCAUGCCACAGAUCCCUCUCUCACCCACCCUCACUGCAUUAUUCAGUGCCUCCCGCUGUGAGCUUUGCUCCCUUCACUGCAGGGGGAAAAGGACAGGCUGUAAAAGCAGAACUGCUCCUGGAGCCUUUGAAAAUGCAGACAAACACCAGUGAUAUGCUCAGACCUUUAUUACGUGGAGGAAGGGCUAAAAAGAAAUGAAACUCCUAAAACAUUCACCGUACUGGUGGAGGACGAGAAGAACCAGGCGUUGCCACCCUGGUCUUGGUUUUAAGAAAAGGGGGGGAGGGACAGGUGAAGUUUCCAUCCGUCAGCUCUGGCAAUCCUGGGCAGGGUGGCUCAGGGCAAAAAGAGGUACAAGACACAGCUUAUAUUUUUAUUUAAACCGCUACACAGUUUGUUUUUUUUUUGCCUCUAAUGAUGCAAAAGGAGGUUCCAGGACACACUGAGCCAUCCACAGUCUUCUUUGAGAAACAAAACCAAAACAAAAAAACCCUGUCUGGAUUUUUAUUUAUUAUUUAUUUAAAAAUUGGAAAAUAAAAAGGUGAGGCUGCAGCUUAGGGCCACACUGACCAAACUGCCCACGAGUUCAUCAUCCACAGCAGGAGGGAGAGGGGGAGAUGAAAGAAAGGGGAAGGCCCACAAAACAUUAUUUUUUCAUUUUUUUUCCUUUAAAGUAACAGCUAUACUGGUGGUGGGGGCAGAAAUCAAACCAUCGGGACAUCUUGAUUCUUUUUUGGGGGGGCUAGGCCUUCUUCUUUGCCUGAAUUCAGAACUGCGUUAAAUAAAUGGGUUCUAGCUCCAAAAAAAAAUGACGCAGUUUGUCAUUGACAGAGUUAUAAAGCCCAUAGAGCUUAAAAAAGGAAGGAUGCCCGGGUACAGAUGGGAAAUGAAUAAUUAGUUUUCCUACAAAGAAAAUAAAACAGGCUGCAAGAUGCAGAAAACCACAUUUAGGCUCUAUUACAUUUACAAAUACAUACAUAAAUAUAUUACAUACAACAGCAACUCAAAGAGGAAGCGGGCGAGUCACACAGAGGAUGGCUGGCUGGCUGCAGUUCUCCCCGCACAGACGUUUGGCUGAGCAGUUACUUCUCCUAAUAAUUCCAGGAAUGGGCUUCGGCUUUUCUGUUUUUCUUUAUUUCUUUUUUUUUUUUUUUUUUCUCUCCUCUCUUUUCAUUCUCUC